UUUCGCUGGGGGUGCCACGGGCUGAGAAAAUACCCUUGAAACCUGAACCGGACAAUGCCGGCGUAGGGAAGCGAAUCCA
rnacentral:ncRNA from 1 species